CGCGGGCACUGUUGAUGGUGAGCCCCCGGAAGAAGACCCCCAGUCCUUCCUGCCGGGCGCUGCUUACUAUGCAGUCCAGCACCCCUCGGUAUGUGAGCUCAGCUCCCCAGCCCUGGAGAAGGCUGAUGGCAGAGGAUGCUGGCGGUUGGCCCUAGCGGUAAUCUUUAGAGGGUGGCAGGCUAAGUUUGCCUACUUCCUUCCCGCAGGCAGGGCAGUGGGCUGGGGACCCUCCCCGUGAGAUGGGACUCUGCUGUCACCCUCCGGAGCCUGUGGGUGGUGCUGAGCGGGCUUCUCCAGAGGGUGUUCUCCUGAGCCCCGACCAAAGGUGGGGUGGCAGGCAGGAGCUGGUUAGGCCCCUCCCCUCCACAUCCCGUGCCCAUGGGAGCAGUGGGGACAUUGGACAUUACAGCACCAUUUGAUGGGGUCCACCUAAGCCCAGCCAAAAGCAACUUUUGUGCACACAGAGGCUGUCAGUUCCUGCCCUGUGCUAGCAAGAAUUACUUCCCGCCUCUUCCCCCGGUCUCCACCCUAUAACUCAUUUUCUUUUCUCUUUUUCUUUGAGGAAGAUUAGCCCUGAGCUAACAUCCAUGCCCAUCUUCCUCUACUUUAUAUGUGGGACGCCUGCCGCAGCAUGGCUUGCCAAGCAGUGUGCAGGUCCGCACCCAGGCUCUGAACCGGCAAACCCCAGGCCGCUGAAGCGGAACAUGCAAACUUAACCACUGCGCCAGUGGGCCAGCCCCUGUAACUCAUUUUCUGCUCCAAGACCCUGUGAAACCGAAGCCACAGGCUCCAGUUUGUCCCUGGACCCAGGCCCCAUCAGUGACUCUACAGUCCCCAGUUCUGCUAUCGGUUCUGCUUUCUAAAGAGCUGGAGAGGAGGGUGACUGAGGAGCUGGGCCUGGCUAGGCCUGAAGCAGGCCGCUUGGCCUGGGGGCUCAGUUCUCUCCCUUGUUUUUGUGGGGUGCCAGGUCUUGAGCCUUGGGAAAUACACAGGCAUGAGUCCCACACAUGAAGGGGCAGGAGAAGAGCCAGGCCCUUUGGGGCCUUAUGAAUCAUUAAUUCACUUGAGUGAGCCUCCUGACUCUGUCCUUUCUCCUUGCUCUCUGCCCGGUGAAGUGUGUCAGGAGCAUCAGAGCACGUGCCAAACAGAUGGUGACCUGAGGUCCCUGGCUGGGGUGUGGGACAGAGCCAGGCACGUGUCCCUCUGCCUCUAUGCCCAGGCCCCCAUUAAGCUGGGGUUCUCCCUGGAGCCGGAGGCCCCUCUUCCCUCCACCCCACCCCUCAGGAGCUGGUACUUAAUUGCUGAGAACAAAGACCAAAACCAAAUGAUCAGAGUCACUUAAUGAUUAAUACCCUGGGCCUCUCCCAGUGAGGUCUGUGGACUGGAGCCCGGUAAAGCUCACCGACUGAGGCCACCCAGAGGCUGCAGGCAGAAGGGCUGAGCAGGGCAGAGGCUAGGAAGCCCCCAGUGCAGCCGGCCAUGAAGAUGUGUGCGUAGCUGGGCGGCUGGGCCCGCCGCUCCUGGUGGGAGGUUGCUGUGAGAGCCAGCAGGGUAUUGCUGUAGAUCCCGAAAAGGACGGAGUUGACCACGGCGAUGCUCGCGAUGGGGAAGCUCAUCCCCUUGAAGAAGCCCAGGAGCUGCAGAGAGACCAAGCUAGAGUGGGGGCAGAGCUCUGCCAGGGGGUGGCAGGGAAGGAAGCUGGAGCUGACUGACUGCCCUUGAUGCCUCCCACCCCAAAGCCCCCAAAGAAGCAGGCCACCCACCGACUCAUGGCGGCAACUCCCAGGAGGCUCAGGAUGGCUGGCUCUGAGCCUCCAGGGCAACUAGGACUUUGGCCUCAGCUUCUCCUAUGUCACUCCCCCCUCCACCGCUUCCCCAGGAAGUGACCCAUCACUGGGGAUAAGGUGACAGAAGGAAGAAAAACAUCUCACCAGAGAUCCAGCCGGCCACGAACUCCUCCACAGGCAUUGUCAGGCAGAGCGGGUACCCAUGGCUCCAGCAGAGGAGGCGCUGGUCAAACCCUACGUAUCAGGUGGCCCACCCUCCCCGGAACAGGCAGUGACGCCAGCGAGAAGGAGCAUGGCCACCAGGGGGCAGGCCCAGCCCGCAGUUGCAGUCGCCUGGGCAUCGGGGAACCGCCCCAGUCCAAGGAGGGGAAACAACCCCCAGGGGAGUGACUCACCAGGACCCGAAGCUCCACCCUCUCCCUGGCUUGUUUACCACAAUGACAACCCGUGUGAGUCACAAACAGCCUCCUCUUCUCCGAGCCUUUUUCCCAGGGGAAAGCUGGGGAUUUUGAGUGUAUAAAGGGUGGCGUGUCUCUCUGCUUGGGGCUGACCAGGUUGUGACUGCCCAUUUCUCUUUGGACAACUACAGCCCAAACUAUCAAACUAUCAGGACAGGACCUGAAUCCCUCUCCCUGGAGGAUAGCGGGAGGUGGAGGCACAGAGGAGGGGGUCCUUCUUUCGAGGGUAAAUAGAUCCAGUGCGGAGGCGUCACUGCCCGAGGAAUGCUAGGAAGGCUUCAAAUGGGGGCACCAACCCUUGACCCCUGCCUUUCUCUCACACCUCACCUAAUAUUAAUAUGACCUUCAAAACACAUCCCAAAUCCAACCACUCCUUGCCUCCUCCACAGCUACCACCCUGGCCCAAGCCACCAUCACCUCCACUUGGAUUCCUGCCCCUCACUGGCCUCCCCUCUUGCCCCUUUCCCGUCAGUUCUCCACACAGCAGCCAGAGCGAUGCAGUGGAAAUCUAAGUCAGACCAUGUCUCCCCUCUGCCCCACACCCUGCAAUGGCCCCAUCGUACUCAGAGUCCAAACCAAAGUCCCUCCUAGGCUCCAGGAGCCCUCACACUGCCCCCCCCCCCCCCCCACUCCUCUGAUCGCAUCUCUGGCCACGCCCCUGCUCGCUCUGCUCCAGCCACCCUGGCCUCCUCUUCAAACAGGCACCCGCCUCCAGGCCUUUGCACUGGCUGUCUCUUCUUCCUGUUGGCUUCCUCUAGCCUGGGCUCAAACGUCACCCACGCAGAAAGCCCACCCUGACCAUCUCUUUGGAUAUUGCCCUCUGCUCCCCCGCCCCCACCUCGCAUUCCUCGUGCCCCUUCUCUGGCUCUACCUUUGCUUUCUCCCAUUGCACACAUCACCUUCUGACACGCUGCGGUUAACAUGUCUGUCUGGGCAGGGAUUUCUGGCUGUUCUCUUUACUAUGUGGCACAGAGUUGGCACCAAUAAAUACUUGUUGAAAGAUUGAAUGAGUGGACAAGUCAGGGAGCAGCUUAGUGGGCAGGCCCGCAGCCAGCCCUGGGGCUCCUGUUCUCUCUCCCCAUCUCCAAAAGGGACAUACCCCCCUCACCCUGGCAUUCACCCCCACCCCCAGCCUCACCUGCUGUGCUCUGACUGCCCCGGGCUUCCCUGGGGUCCUAACCAUGCUCCUGCGGCUCCCGAUGCCUGGAAUGCCUUCUGGAAUUUCCUCCAGUGCCCCUCCUCGCCAGACCUGGGUUGCCGUCUCCUCACCCUACCACACAUCCUGCCAGAUGUCAGCCUUGUUAUUUAACCUUUCUGAUCCUGUUUUCUCGUCAUAAAAUGGAGAUAUAAGACUUACCUGUUAGUGGUUAUAAGGAUUGAAGCGCUUAGGAAAAGUCUGGCACAUUGUAUGUGCUCCACAAAUGGCAGCUACUAUUACGCCUAUUUCCAUUGAUGGGGUCCCCGGGGAUGACAAGAGGAAACACACGGGAAAGGCCUGGACACAGUGGGUGCUCAGCAAUUGAGGACCCUUCUCUUCCUGCUUGUAGCAGUUUAUAGCUCUUAAGGCAAUUCUCUCAUCUUAUGUAGUUUUAAACAUGCAUUUCUCCUGGGCUUCUUUCUCUCUCCUCUCUCCCUCCACUCCCCAAUUAAAGCAGAACAUAAGCUUCCUGAGGGCAGGGGCCGUGUCCCACUCAGGUCUCCAUCCCCUGCGCUAGCCUGGGCCCUGUAUCUAGCAAGUACUCAACAACACAGAACUAUAUUCCCAGCUGGUUUAGGGAGGCCACCGAGACAUUGUGUCCCGCUCUGAGGGGCCCAGGGCUCAGAACUCAGAGGGAGAUGCCUGUUCCCACUGCACACUCUUCUCUCCAGCUCACAUCUGAGCUCCCUCGAGCUCUUAGGUCAUGCUAGGAAGGAAGACAUGAUGUAAUGGGCUCAGCUGUGGGCAGUGUAGGGCUGGAGGGCAGGCAAAGGGCUGUUUGAAAUAUUGAGGAAAAUCGGACUAGGUUAGGACCUGGAGCUGCCUUCCGAUGCCGGGGAAGCGGAAUGGGGUGAGCCCACUUCCCCCUCCCGACAUCCCUGGUCUGAUCGCCCACCCACUGUUGUCACUUGGAACACCUUCCGAUUCCUCCGGCUCAGGAAGGUGCCCACGGACCCGUUUUUCUCCUUGAGAUCUACACCUCAGGCACACACAGGCUAGUGUUGCCAGGACAUGUUGGUGCCCUGACUCUGGGGACAGGUGGGUUCACACCCGCCUCUUCCAGCUGCUACAACUCUUCCCCUCCUGGGAAUAUUCUCAAGGUCUCAGGUUGUGUGCCUAAGACAGCGAGGGCUCACGUGAGUGCUCCAUGGAAAAACAAGUGAGCCUGGCCUGGGUUUGUGACAUAUAAUUUGAGGGUCCUUGGAGGGUAUGGAGUCCAACCUCCUCAUUUUACGGAUGAGGAAACUGAGGCUGGAGGAGAAGGGGCUUGUCCAGGAUGAGUCAGGACAGGGACCCAGUCUACUGACCACAGCGGCGAGCCCAUCACCUCCACGGCCUGAGGGCGCUGCAGUACAGGCCGCUGCUGCGUCUCCUUCGCCCGGGCCCAGGUCAGUGUGGAUCCCUGACACGGCCCAGGAAGCAUCUCCAUUCCACGGGUGAGGGGUCCGGCCCUAAGUCACACGCAAAGGAGUGCCGGAGCUCGCGUCCCUAUCCCCGACUGCCUUGAACCUUCGCCACACCCUGUUACAGGCCAUCAGUCUGGGCCUGUGUGUGGGAGCCAUCGCCCUCGGUCACUUGGGUUGGUGGCGGGGCCGCUUCGCAGCGCGACCAUCCCUCAGGCGGAACCAGACGCAGGAGACUAGCGGACCGGCGUCCCGGGCA